GCCCCAUAGCUUAAUGGGUAAGGCACUGGUCUCCUAAGCCAGGGCUUGUGGGUUCUGGUCCCACCUGGGGUA
rnacentral:tRNA from 1 species